ensembl:lncRNA
UGCAGCGCGAGUCAAUGAAGAACUCAUAGAAAAACCUUGGUUGGCCCACAAAUAUUCUCUGACGUUAUAUAACGACGUCUGCUCGCCUCACUUCCUGGUUGACUGUGAAUUUGUCCAAACGUGACCGCGUGUGCUGUGUACAGGUAGAAUAGAUAAAAGGUAUACCUUUUUUUUGUGUACCUCAUGGCUUCUGUCAGUGACCUGCAAGCUCGACGAGUUGAAAAUAAUAAUACACGCACUCUGUUGAACUCAGAAUGCGUUUAUGAAGCAGCAGAAGAUAAUUCAUCCCAGAUCAUUCUGGAGAACCCCGAUCCCGAUAUCGUUAAAACAAUCUCACAUUAUUUCGAUGCUGCUCUCAGUGGGCAGAAAUAUGUGUUAUCCCAUCCCGUCACAGACCAUGGCGCUGAGUCUUCAGCAGACAGUAGGGAUUCAGGGGACAGCCUGUUCAUAACUCAAGUGCCAGUGUCUGAGGUGGUGAGGUCUGUGAGAAGAUGCCACUCAAAGGAGAGGUCAGAGUUCACAUGUACCAUAGAAUCAGAGGAGGAGAGUGGGGACGAAGAUGGACCUGCCACUCCCCAAAGGAAGCAGCAGGUCUCACAGGCAAUGAAACAUCACAAGAGGAAAGCAGAGAAGCAUGGCCUGAAAAAGUACUCCUUUCCCUUUCUGGGGAGCGUUUACAGAAGUAAACCCCUAUCUAGUCGAGAGUGUGCUUACAGAAACACACACCUAUCACUAUUAAAUGGUGUGGCCUUCUCGAGUAAGGCAAUUGGAGGCUUUUUUAGAUGUGUCAAAACACUGAAGAAGUUCUCUAAAGGAAAAGCGACUUUAGCUUCAGCUUUACCAAACAGAUAUCUGGAUAAGGAAGGUGAACUGUCUCCACUGUCAGAACAGGAGGUGGAAUCUGAAGGUAGUGAUGAUGACAUCAGAGUGGUGGAAAAUAAACUUUUAAUGCUAUUCCUGAAAAAGAAAAAUAGUCAAACUUGGUGUUAUCCAUCAUCUGAAGCUGAAAAGCAAUUCAGAAACUUUUCAUCUGUAAGCAAAGACUCCACCGCCAAGACAAAGAAACAGAGCACAAAGAAAACACAACACCUCCCUCACGUUAAACAAACUCUUUCCUUGGUUUCCAAAAUGAUUAAAGACACACCAUCAAAGCAGAGUUUUGCUGGGUCACAGCGAAUCGUACCUGAGAAAUGUAACAUGGCAGAAGAAGAGACUAACCCAGAGUCAGUCAGUUGCGUUAGGAGAUGUUCAUCUGGUAGGGGUUUAGUCCGCAAUAAAACAGAAGAACCUGGUAUACAUUUAGCUGACAAUACAGACGGACAGGAAGAGAACGACAACAUGGACAUUUCAUUGACAGAAUGGAAGACAAUGCUGAAUAUCGGAUUUGUCAGUGAGGAAGUAGAGGGGAGUAGAAUAGACCAGGCAGUGGACAUAACGAGUUCACCUAUUAAUGAAGUGCAGGAAAGUGAAGGAAGCUGUUUGGAGAGGACCCAAGGCAGAGCCAUGACCCCCAGUGUGACUGGGCAGCGCCCUGAUCGUGACCAUCAGAACCAGACAAGAGAAACAGAGGCUGAUCCUGGAAUUAAAGGUCACAACCCCCCUUCAACAGAUCCAGCGCUCACAAAUGACUGUACAAAUGUUGAUGCUGGGGGAGACUAUGAACAGAAGGGAAAGAAGAGGAAGAAAAAGAACAGGAAAAGAGAGGGAGGAGAUGAUGAAAGUAUAGAGGACCGAGUUGGGCAGCCUCCAUGCCAAGAAGCUCCAGAUUAUCAGGAACUAGUCACCUGUGUGAGUACAAGCACCAUACAGGGAGGAGAGGCUACUGAGAUAACCCAGGAUAACAAGGCAGAGCAUUCUGUGUCCGUGUCUGGUGAAAUGAUUAUGCCACAGAAAAAGAAGAGAAAAAAGGAGAGGAGGAGGGAUUCACCAUGCCAUGUUGAUACAGAUAUAUGCCUAAGACGGGAAGAGAACCCCAAGAAGAAGCGGAGGAAGAGGAGGAUAUCUUCAACUGAAGAUGGCGCCGUUGUUCAACAACAAGAGGAUAAUAUUCAAAAAUCUCAUAUCUCCCUCAAGAGUUCUGUGUCUGAAUCCAUUGACACUGUGCCACCAAGAAAAAAGGGGAAGAAAGAUGGGUAUGUAGUAACUCCUUUGAGCACAGAGGAGAGAUGUCAAAAGGACAGCAUACCACCUGAAACAGAUGAGAUCACUAGCCCAAGAAAGAAGAAGAAAAAGCGAGAUGAGUCUAAAGACACUUGUUCUGUCAUACACCAGGAUACAGCAGCUCCACUGGAAAAAGAGAUUAUUGGCAUAUCUUUGGAGGGGUGUGAGAGUUCUGCUUUGACUCCAGAUGACACAGUUUCUCAGAGAAAAACUAAGAAAAAUAAGAAUUCCCUCACCAAACAUGAUCCUGAGGGAAGACUGAAAAAUGAUGCAACUAAAAUAUCUCAGAGGAUGAACGCAACUGUAAAAAAUUCUGCUGAAGUGAGACUUGAAGCUGAAAGUGCCUUUAUAUCCUCAGAGAGAAAGAGGAAAAAGACAAAGAGGAGGAAAUCCACUGAUUACGAAGUACCAGCGGUAGGACAUCAAGAUAAUGAUAACACUGCAAUGCUAAUUGAAACGACCCAGAGUUCUAUGACCCAAUACAAAGAAACAGAGUCGCAGAAGAAGAAAAAUAAAAUAAAUGAUAACACUGCAAUGCUAAUUGAAAUGACCCAGAGUUCUAUGACCCAAUACACAGAAACAGAGUCGAAGAAGAAGAAGAAAAUAAAUGAUAACACUGCAAUGCUAAUUGAAACGACCCAGAGUUCUAUGACCCAAUACACAGAAACAGAUUCACAGAAGAAGAAGAAGAAGAAGAAGAAGAAGAAAAUAAAUAGAAAAACAAACAAGGAAUCAGUUGCCCCGAAGCACACAGAUGGAAGACAGACCGGGGAGAUGUCAGAGGCGACGUCAGGCUGUCUGCCUUUACCACAGAUUAAUCCUGAUCCUGUAUCAAUCUCCCAUGAAUUUGUUUCAUCAGCAGAGAAGAAAAAUAAGAAAAAUAAGAAAAAUAAGCAUGGAAAAGACAAGAGGAUGAUGUAUGUAUGAUGCAUAUCAGGAUUACCUCGCAACCGAACACAUUGACACAGUGGUGAUGUCAUGAAGCAUGCCAUCUGAAUAAAACAACCCAUAGCUUGGAGAGGAUUUUUGAUGGGUGGCCUUUGGUUAUAAGGGAACAGAUUUUUAAAUGAGUAGAUUCAUUGUACACCACCCCUAUGAUGGUUGUUCUUCCACUCUUUAGAGACACUUGUAUGUGCAUUCAGAUG